GUGGAAGUGGUGGUGGUGGCCGAAUUUUCAAGGAAAGAGAGGGGAAGAAGAAUUUUCCAACCUAAGUCUUGAAUUAACUUAUUGUUUAUUGAGGUUGAAGCUUAUUUGUGCAUUAUCGUUUUAGCGUUAUUGUUCAAGUUGCGGACGAGGCGGUUCCGGAAAAAGGAACUAGUUGUGGAUUUAAAACUUGAAGAGAUAGAAGUUGCUUUUGGGAAAAAAGGUAGAAGGUUUGACCAUACUUGGAUGUAUGGUGCUUUUGGUAUAAAUACUUAGAUAUCCCAUCUCAUUGUGGCUCUUGGUACAUUCGAAUUGUGGUAAAUUGUCUUUUGAUUAUUUCAGAAA